AAGUCGUAACAAGGUUUCCGUAGGUGAACCUGCGGAAGGAUCAUUAACAUAUUUUCCAUCCACGCGUCUUGGGGAAGCGUUAACGUGGCCUCUCUCCUCAUUUAUUUGUGGGGAGGGGACUCGGACACCCUUCUCUCUCUAAAGAGACACAUUAUUUUAACUUUUAAAAACCUUUGACAAUACAACAACCUCGAGUUCUCACUUUGUGAGAGAGCUUGUAUUUCAACACAAUCAAUUUUUGUUUGAAAAACAACUUUUAACAAUGGAUCUCUUGGCUCUU
rnacentral:misc_RNA from 1 species